AUAGCUUGUAACUGGGAGGUGUUUAGCCUCAGAGAAUGUCAAGGCUGGAAGCAACAUAUGAGAUUAUUCAGACUGGCGGAUUCCAAACUUUUAUUGGCCACAAAUGCCUCUCUUCAAAGGCAAUUUUGUAGGGACCCACAGUGUAUGAAAUAGAGGAAAGCAGGAUAAAAUGGGGAGGAAGCGAACGGAAGACCCUAAGGUCUCGGGAGAUGUGCCUGAUGCUGCACGAAAGACACUGAGCUCAUCCAGCUUCUGGAGGAACCUGAGGCCAAGGCCAUGUGCCCAGUGAACGGUGGAGCCUCGAAUGGAGCCGUGCCACACCCGCGGGGAAUGUCAGGUCACAACCGAACUGAGAUGGAAACACCGCUUUCCUCUGUGAUCCGCAACCUGCCAUCUUUCUCUGCAUCAGGUGAGGCUCCCCCCGACACAUACCUAAUUUAUAGCAGCAUCAUCGAAUGCCACCGCUGGAAGUGCCAGCUCAGUGGUUUUUAAUCUCUCUUCUGCCAGUGCUGGCAUUUCAGCAGAGGGUGAGAGGGGAGGGACCCGGGGUGACAGGUGCCCUGGUGAGCCCUGCCCUCCCUUUUGGCCAGACUGGCUCCCUUCUUCCGUGGUUUCCAAAGGAGCACUCUGGAAAAUAGAGGAAAGGGAUGGAGGGAGCGACUUUAAACAAAGAAAAGGCCUGAGAAACUCUCAUUAAGUCUCAACUUGCUUCGAGGAGGGAAUCAGCGACCUGAUUUGGUUGCCACCGUGGAAAGAGGCUUAACUUUCAAAGGAAAGAGAAUUAAAGGAGCAAACCCCCUGUAUCUUCCAUCUGCAGGAGCAGUGUUUGUCAUCCAGCCUCAGCCUCAGUGAGCCUGGGAGAGCAAAAGGCUGAUGCCUCCUGCAAAAGGCCCUCAGAGGGAUUUAGGAGCAAAUCUGGUCCCCCGUGGCUAGCAGGGACCUUCUGCUUUUAUUGGCCUUUUGCUCUCAGCCCCUGCCACCCCCUCGGUGCUGGCAUUUGAUCUGUAAAUUUCAAGCGCUGAUGACCUCAGGCGAUGCCUCCCUUCUGACAACACCUGCAUUUACCCUCACCCCAGCCAUCCCAGCCCUGUGGGCACUUCCCCUUUCUCCCUGCCCACAGUGGGUGCUCUGGAGGAAUACUGAGGCUUGCUGAAGGCAUGGGGGCGGGGACAGUCUUCUUUCUUCCCUUCCGCUAGAUGUUGGAGCGAGCAGAGCUGUGCAAACCCCUCGCUCUGCCAACUUGCAGGCCCUGGAGAGCGAGGCUCUGCUCUUCCCUCAGAUCUUUGCAGGGGUCUUCUUAACCUGUUGUUUGCAAGGGUUGUUCCUGGCAUUAAAUCUAAUAAGCUCCUGUCUGGUGGUUUGAUCCUGAACUUGUUUGAUGCCGUUAUGCCUUUACGGGGCAUUAAGAGGAUGCUGUUGACAAGGCUUGGGGAGCUUGAGUCAGCCUCGGGAGUCCAGGGCUUUCCAACAGGCCUGGUUGGCUGGAGACAGUGGGGCUUUGCUGAUGUAUCCCCAGGCUCCCGCCCUAUGCUAGCUGGGCAGCUUACCCUCUCCAAGCCUCCAUCUCCUCCUUUUAAAAAGGAGGAGUAUAACCCAACAGGGUUGUUUAGGCAUUCCAUCAAAAGUCAUUCCUCACCUUCCAGGGAAGCCCAAGUCUCAGACUCCAUGUAAUUCAACACAAAUCAGAGCUUAGCAUCUUCUGCCUAAGAGUUCUGCCAGGAUGCUCUCCAGGGGCAGAGGUGAGCUUUGACCAUAUGCCCUCAAAUUAAAGAUACAUGCAAUUUAACGUUUUAACCUCUCAGAAAUUGAGAUGCAUGUUACAUGUUGUAGGCAUGUCUUGGUUUAAUUGGCAUUGUUGUUGAGGCUUUCCCCUCUUUUCUCGGUGACUCAUAACGUCAGGAUGUAUCCUAUGGCUGGAGCAGCUGUAAGAUGUAUUAUGUUGUGGUCAUACAGGAUUUGAACCAAGAACUGCCUGACUCCAAGACCUGUGGCUAGGUUGGUCAGUAUGUAGCGAGGAGAAACUAAUUUCUUUUUUUUUUUUUAAUGUAUUUUACUGAAGUAUAAUGGACUUACAAUGUUGUGUUAAUUUCUGCUAUACAGCAAAGUGACUCAAUCAUACAUAUAUUCUUUUUCAUAUUCUUCUCCAUUAUGGAUUAUCACAGUAUAUUGAAGAUAGCCCCCUGUGCUAUACAGUAAGACCUUGUUGUUAAUUCAUCCUAUAUAUAAUAAUUUGCAUCUGCUAAUCCCAAACUCCCAAUCCAUCCCUCCCCCACUCCCCUACCCCAUGGCAACCGCAAGUCUCUUUGUCUGUGAGUCUGUUUCCUAGGUAAGUUCAUCUGUGUCAUAUUUUAGAUAUCAGUGAUAUGACAUGGUCUUUGUCUUUCUCUUUCUGACUUACUCCACUUAGUAUAAUAAUUUCUAGAUCCAUCCAUGUUGCUGCAAAUGGCAUUAUUUUUCUUCUUUUGUUUGGCUGAGUAGUAUUCCAAUGUAUACAUGUACCACAUCUUCUUUACCCAUUCAUCCGUCGAUAGACAUUUAAGUUAUUUACAUGUCUUGGCUAUUAUGAAUAGGGCUGCUAUGAACAUAGGGAUGCAAAUGUUAGAAGCUAAUUUCUCUUUGCUUCUUAGAACCAUCCUUGAGGGGACCCAUGUCCACGGUCUGAAGUGUGCUUUAAUUUAAACAAGCAAAAUCAUGUAUAUUUACUGGAUGUCUGUUAUGAGCUAGGCACAUCCUAGGCAUUAGAGGUUCAGUGAUGAACAAAAUAGACAUGGAGCUUAAAAUCCAAGAAAUGUGAGCAAUUACAACCCAUUUGAUUAGUGUUGUAUGGAACUCUGCAGAAUGCUGUGGGAACAUGUACGAGGGACCCUUACCCUAGACGAAGGGAGCCAGGGGGAAUUUCCAGGAGGAAGUGACCUGAUUUGAAAGUUAGCCCAGCAAAGUGGGUUGGCGGUUGUAGGCGGCGUGUCUGAGACAGAGGGAGGAGUCUGUGAGAAGAGGCCAGAGACUCUGAGGGCUUCUGGAGAGGCUGAACGAAGAUCUAGAUCUACACAGUUCAGUGUGGUAGCCUGCAGUCAGCCACAUGUGGCAUUUCAGCACCUGGAAUUCGGCCAGUCCAAAUCCAAAUUCAUGUGCAUUGUAAGUGGAUUUCAGAGACCUAGUAAGAAAAAAAAGAAAGAAAGAAAGUAAAAUGUCCCAUUAAUAAUUUUCUAUGGGGAUUAUCUAUUAAACUUAAAAUAUUUUAGAUAAAAUAUAUUCGAUCAAUAUGCUCUUAUUAAAAUUAAUGGGACUUGUUUCGUGUUACUGUUUUAAAGGGUGGCUUCUAGAAUAUUUAGCAUCGCGUCUAUGGCUCCCAGUUGUCGCUCACGUUAUAUUGGGAUGUAACGCCCCAGGAAUGGGAAGUUAUUGAAAGGCUGUAACCUGGGGAAGCUCAAGCUAGGGAAAUCAGUUAAGUGCUUGCAGAAUUCCAGUGCAUUUGCUGUAUUAACUCACUGAAUCCUCAAAACAACUCUAGAAGGAGAAAUUGUUAAAUUCACACGUGCAGCUAAGCAGACAGAAACUGAGAGGAGAGAAUGGCGUAAUCACGGUUACCCCAUAUGCCUGUGCUCUGUGCAGGGCCAUCGAUAAGGAGUUCAGAGGCCACAGCCGGGUGUUGCUUGGGGCACGGCCAGAACUCGGGUCUUCUCAGCCCAGCCUGUUAGCCUUCCCAUCCCCCAUGUGCCCAUCUCUGGCUUCCAACCUGAAAAUGACCAUGCCUCUUAGGAUACAGACACCUGGUACAUCUAGAUCUAAACUUUUCACACUCUCCCUAGGAUUGCGUUUUCUUUUGCAGAUGCUUUCCUAGGCCCCUUACUCCAAGCAAUUAGCCAAGAUCAUACCUGGCAAUCACUCCCCUUGUAAAUGAGCUCUGAUGCCUGGCUAUUUCCCCACCUUCAUUAUUGAUGGUUUAGAUCCUAGCUGUUUGCAGAAAAUGUACUUUUUUGAAAGAACAUGGAGCACUUCUGAACAGUCACUCCCACUUCUAGAAAGAUCGUUCGGUCCCCACCCUUACCCCCCAACCCCCUGGCAUGAACAGUGAACACACCCUCCUCUCCAUUGGCGCCACAUCCUGUUCAUCAGAAGCCCCGGGGUUGAGACGUAGGGGAACAGAAACACAGAAACAGAAACACCCUCAAGGAUGGUGUCUUCCUGGGGAAGCAGAAUUUUGUUUUCUUUUUCUAAAACCAGGGACAUCCUUACAAAUGAUUAUAAAAUGCAAUACGGCAGAAGGUCUUAGAGGGAAAAGAAAACUCCUUCCUCAACCUCAGAUCCCCUCCCCUAAGGCAACCACAUUUAACUACUUUUGUUUUUAGUUCUUUUGGUGGUUGCUUCCACAUCAUUAAAUAGCAUUUGCUUAAACUGCUGCAAAGUGAUGUCUCAGCUUUACGCGGCAUCUAUUGCCUCCCUGCUGGGUUAAGUGAAGGCUUAGUUCACUGACACCCCACCUCUUCCACCUCCUCCCGGGGUGCACUUGCAAUUAGAAGUCCGUACGUACCACAUUCUUAGUUCUUCCUCUGUCUGUCUUUAUAAUCUAAAUCAUACACUUAAAAGAGAAUGAUGCUCAAGGGUCAUUUCUUCUCCUGGACACAUCUCUCCAAAGCUGCUCUCCCAGUCACGAGACAUCUUUCUGCAGGAAGGAUCCGUUGCAGAAAAAAAAUGUGGUACAUGGCAGCUAAAGGAUGCUUGUUCUUAGUAUUUUGAGGUGGGUAGCUAUCAUUAGUUCUUCCAAAUUUUGAAUUUCUACCUUAUAGGAGGCUAGAGGUGACCGCAGGGCUGUUGGAAAGCACUAGAACACAUCUCGCCGAAUGAGGGGAUGUUGUUAAGGAAGCCACCAACAUUAAAAACAAAAAUCUUUGUAGUUCCCCUUGUGGCUCAGCGAUUAUGAACCCAACAAGUAUCCGCGAGGAUGAGGGUUCCAUCCUUGGCCUCGCUCAGUGGGUUAAGGAUCUGGCAUAGCCGUGAGAUGUGGUGUAGGUCUCGUACAUGGCUCAAAUUCAGUGCUGGUGUGGCUGUGGUGUAGGCCAGCAGCUGUAGCUCCGAGUUCGACCCCUAGCCUGGGAACUUCCACGUGCUGCAGGUGC
rnacentral:lncRNA from 1 species